GCCAGCGACGAUUGCACGUUGAAUGCGCCAGUUCUCAAUGGACCACUGAAGUUAAAUAACGUUGCGCGUGGUU
rnacentral:rRNA from 1 species